UACGAGGGGGGCAAGCGUUGUUCGGAAUUAUUGGGCGUAAAGGGCGCGUAGGCGGUGCGGUAAGUCACCUGUGAAAACUCUGGGCUCAACUCAGAGCCUGCAGGCGAAACUGCCGUGCUUGAGUGUGGGAGAGGUGCGUGGAAUUCCCGGUGUAGCGGUGAAGUGCGUAGAUAUCGGGAGGAACACCUGUGGCGAAAGCGGCGCACUGGACCACAACUGACGCUGAGGCGCGAAAGCUAGGGGAGCAAACAGG
rnacentral:rRNA from 1 species